rnacentral:rRNA from 1 species
AUUGAAUGCUGGCGGCAGGCCUAACACAUGCAUGUCGAACGAGUGGCGGACGGGUGAGUAAUGUCUGGGAAACUGCCUGAUGGUGGGGGAUAACUACUGGAAACGGUAGCUAAUACCGCUUACCAGCGGAUGUGCCCAGAUGGGUUUAGCUAGCAGGUGGGGUAACGGCUCACCAAGUCGACGAUCCCUAGCUGGUCUGAGAGGGAGACCAGGCACGCUAGAACUGGUACACGGUCCAGGCUCCUACGAGAGGCGGCAGUGGGGAGUGUUUCACAAUGGGCGCUGGCCGGAUGCGGCCGUGCCGCGUGUAUGAAGAAGGCCAUGGGGAUGUAAAGUACUUGCAGCGGGGAGGCGUUACCGGCAGAAGAAGGACCGGCUAACUCCGUGCAAGCAGCCGCGGUAAUAC